UGUAUUAGAAUAAGUCUGUAUUUUUGAGUCAAUCGGAAUUUGCAGUUACUUAAGCCCUCUGAUCUUCAGUGACUUGUCUAUAAAAUGGAAAAACAUACUUAAUUUGUUGGUAAAUAGUGUGUAAGUGUCAAAUAAAUAUAAGUGUCCAGAAUAAUACCUGUCAAAUAAGGAAUAUUUACAGAGCACUUUUUUCUUAAUCGUGCAUUGCUUACAUUAUAAAUUAGAAGAGAGUGAAGUCAGAUUUUACAAGAAAAUGUUACACCUUUUCCUUGUAAAACAAAUAAUUAUCCUUUUACAUAUGUGUGUUUAUAUCCUUUAAUGUAUGUGCCUCAUUUCACAGGAUUGAGUCAAGCUGUAAAAAUAUUUUAAAUACAGUAAAAUUGAAAAUAAAAUAGAGC
rnacentral:lncRNA from 1 species